UACGAAAGGUGCAAGCGUUACUCGGAAUCACUGGGCGUAAAGCGCGCGUAGGCGGUCUUGUAUGUCGAUUGUGAAAGCCCCCGGCUCAACCGGGGAGGGUCGUCGGGGACCGCACCGCUUGAGGGCGGUAGGGGCUGGUGGAAUGCCUGGUGUAGUGGUGAAAUGCGUAGAGAUCAGGCGGAACACCCGUGGCGAAGGCGGCCAGCUGGGCCGUCCCUGACGCUGAGGCGCGAAGGCGUGGGGAGCGAACGGG
rnacentral:rRNA from 1 species